CUGAUGCAACCGGUCUGAACAAAGUUGGAGUAAAUAUUUCCAUUGUCGACUACACAGAUUCUGAUGAAUCUCAGACUCCAUCUAGGAAUCCUGUUCAUGUUAACAGAUGUUUUCAGAUAUCAAGUCCAAGUUCUGCCUCUGACUAUGAACUCAGCCUCUCCAAAAAGGGUUACCACCAAGUUCCUAUCCCUAGGCUUAGGAGGACCAAAAGCAUACAGAUGAAAAACUGGAUUGAUUUGGAUUCGGAUGAGCUUUUUGACUCAACCUCAGCUGACAGUGGAGAGGAAUAUAUCCCAAAGACCAGUGAAGAUUCUGAUGGUACAGACAUCAGUGAAGUUCUUGGGCCCGUCAAACAGAGAGAGAGCCAGAGAGACAGUUUGCUUCAAAGGCAUGUGGAUGACAUUGAAGAUAGUGUUUUUUCCCCAACAGAAGCAAGUGCCUCUUCAAAACAGUUGGUUUAUAGAGGACGCUCACCCUUAAGAAAGAGAUGCAGCCGUG